rnacentral:lncRNA from 10 species
GACCCCUAAGAAUCGAGACUCUAAAAAGAUAGAAGUCGUUCUUGCCCCAUGUGCUCAAAACUUCUCUUCUUUUCAGGAGCACUGGAAAUUCCUGGCUCGAGUAUUUCCAAAUGGACUUCCAAGUCCUCUUCCUCCUGGAGAUGUUUUUGCCCCAAUGGUUUUCAUGAUUGCAUUUUCUUCUGUAAGCCACCUAUGGGACUAUAUUGUAUGAAUCCUACGUUCUGCUUAUGGAGUGUACAGCUGGAGGAUCAGGAUAAGCUGUGGUCAUUCUGGAUUUUCAAGAGCAUCAUGAAGAAAAAUGAAUGUCUGCAAUAAGCACAAAGGUGACUUUCGCAUCUUCUUUCUCACAAGUAAAUGAGAUGGGCUUUUAAAGAGUUAGCUUUGAGAAAAGAAGGUCAUGUCAGAGGAGAUAUCCAGUGAAUGACUGCAAUAAGAUCAGAAACUGAAUAGACCUUACCAUUCCCAGGAGGUGGGGAGUUCUGAGGCUAAAAUCCUCUGAUGGUCUAGGAUCCCCUUUUAUUCAUUGCCAUCAUAAGAGAGGUUUUUAAAUAAACCCGUUGGCUCUGGAUCUAUUGACACAAACAAAAUGUUUCUUGAAAUAAAACUUAAGGUAUCAUGGAUUUUCAAGAGGAUUUGGUUACAGGUACCAUGUAUAAAGCAGAGCUUGGUAUUAGCAUAUUGUACUUAGAUCAGUGACCCCACUUUCCAAGUGUCUACAGACAAGUGACUUGGACACAUUACAGGUUUAGAGAAUGACUUCAAAAGCAACCAAAACAUUACAGACAGAAGCAAGAAAUGUUUGCUACAUGGAAGACAGUGAAUGCACUUUCACAUUCCGGGCAAAUUAAGAAGGUGAUGCUCAGAAAGUUGAUGCCAUAAGGAAAGAUGACUUCCUGUAGUAACUUGCAGGAUGAAAAGAAUUGAAAUAACAUACGGUAUUACAUAAAAAAUUCAGAAUAAAUAUUAAAUGGGUCAGAUAUUCAAGGUGUCUUUGCUUUUGUAUCUGAGGACCAUUUUCUACUCACAACAAAAAAAAAAAAAAAAAAAAAGAAGAAGAAAAAGAGAGAGAGAGAUCCUAAACAAGAAAGAUCCUUUGAUAAGCCAAAAAGUUUAAGUUAGGCACAGCUUCAGAAAUAUUGAUGAGUUACUGGGCCUUCAAGGUAUGAAAACUAAGGACUAUAGUUGGGCUUUAGGGUAGAGCUAGAGAUUCUCUAUGAAAGGAUUGCUAAUCAAAAAAGAGAAUAGCUGAGGUGGAGACUAGUUUCCAAUUACAGUGCCACAAAUUAAACUAAAAAUCUUUAUAUUUAUUUACAGCAAUGCCUAGGGCAAGUCAGUCAAUGCUACUGGAGGAAAAGUAUGGCACAAA